CACUGUUGGGAGGGAAGAACGUUCGGGGCAUGGCCCUGAAGUGACGGUACCUCCAUAGAAAGCCCCGGCUAACUACGUGCCAGCAGCCGCGGUAAUACGUAGGGGGCAAGCGUUGUCCGGAUUUACUGGGUAUAAAGGGCGUGUAGGCGGAUCGUUAAGUCAGAGGUGAAAGCUCACAGCUCAACUGUGAAAUUGCCUUUGAUACUGGCGGUCUUGAGUACGAAAGAGGAAGAUGGAAUUCCUGGUGUAGCGGUGAAAUGCGUAGAUAUCAGGAGGAACACCGGUGGCGAAGGCGGUCUUCUGGUUCGUAACUGACGCUGAGGCGCGAAAGCAUGGGGAUCAAACAGGAUUAGAUACCCUGGUAGUCCAUGCCGUAAACUAUGAGUGCUAGUUGUUAGCCCGGUCUUGAGCGUUGGGUUAGUGACGCA
rnacentral:rRNA from 1 species